UUAGGGGUAGGGAAUUUCAAUUUAUUUUAUAAAUACCCAAAAUACCCGGGUAUUUAUGGAUUUUGGGUAUUUACCCGGGUAAAUACCCAGGGUAUUUACCCCGAGUUUUAAAUACCUGGGUAUUUUACAUCACUAGUUAGGAGUUGUUAUUUUUGUGACUGGGUAUUGGCAUAACCUACACCGAACAUCUUUUCACGUUUUGAUCCUUUGGAGCAUUUGAUAACUCUGCAGCUUUGGUGGAAGUUAUUAUUUGGUAGCAGUGAAUAAUUGACCUACCAAUUCUCCCGAGUGACAAAGUGGCUGUCUAGCAGCCUGUAGGCUGGGAAGGAGGAAUAAAUUUUUCUUUUGCAAUCUGCAUCUGAGGCCAGCUAUCUUGCAGGCAGUACCGGUACGCAAGAACACUAGGAUCGUGGUGUAAUGGAAAAUAUGUUGUUGCUACUAUAAUCAAGAAUUGGCUUCGCCCAGCAAAGUUUAGGAUUGAUGCAAGGAACAAGAGAAAAAUCAAGAAAGCCAUUUGGGAGAUGAAGAAGACCAGAAUUAAUUUUUUUGUAAAUUGUACAUAUCUUUUUAUAUUUGUAUUUAAAUAAUUUUUAAUUAAACUUAUUUGAUCAUACAAACAACAUUUUUUUCU